AUUAUUCUUGAAUGUAAAUUUUAAAAGAUUAAGUUUGGCUCGUUUAGUAUUUGAUCAAGUCUACAUGCGUAACUUUAAAUUGAGUUCAAUAUGGCCCUAUUUCAAUUAACAUCAUAAUUUAAAUUGAGCUUAAACCAAUUCACUCACAUAUCAUACUUGAAUCAAGCACAAUUCAAGUUUAAUGCAAACCGAAUUCAAGAUUGCUUCAAGCUAGGUCC
rnacentral:lncRNA from 1 species